rnacentral:rRNA from 1 species
CGGACGGGUGAGGAACACAUCGGAAUCUACCCUGUCGUGGGGGGACAACGUAGGGAAACUUACGCUAAUACCGCAUACGACCUUUGGGUGAAAGCGGGGGACUCGCAAGAGCCUCGCGCGAUUGGAUGAGCCGAUGUCCGAUUAGCUAGUUGGCGGGGUAAUGGCCCACCAAGGCGACGAUCGGUAGCUGGUCUGAGAGGACGACCAGCCACACUGGAACUGAGACACGGUCCAG